UACAUAGGUGGCAAACGUUAUCCGGAAUUAUUGGGCGUAAAGGGUGCGUAGGUGGUUCAAUAAGUUACUGGUGGCAAAUCGGGGCCCAACCCCGUGGAAGUCAGUAAUACUAUUAAACUAGAGGAUCGGAGAGGUUAAUGGAAUUCUAUGUGUAGCGGUAAAAUGCUCAAAUAUAUAGAGGAACACCAAACGGCGAAGGCAGUUAACUAGUCGGUUCCUGACGUUGAGGCACGAAAGCGUGGGGAGCAAGACGG
rnacentral:rRNA from 1 species